UGGGGAAUAUUGGACAAUGGGCGAAAGCCUGAUCCAGCCAUGCCGCGUGUGUGAAGAAGGUCUUCGGAUUGUAAAGCACUUUAAGUUGGGAGGAAGGGCAGUAAGCGAAUACCUUGCUGUUUUGACGUUACCGACAGAAUAAGCACCGGCUAACUCUGUGCCAGCAGCCGCGGUAAUACAGAGGGUGCAAGCGUUAAUCGGAAUUACUGGGCGUAAAGCGUGCGUAGGCGGCUAAUUGAGUCGGAUGUGAAAUCCCCGAGGUUAACUUGGGGAUUGCUUUCGAUACUGGUUAGCUAGAGGGUGGGAGACGGUGGUAGAAUUCCAGGUGUAGCGGUGAAAUGCGUAGAGGUCUGGAGGAAUACCGAUGGCGAAGGCAGCCAUCUGGACUAACACUGACGCUGAGGUACGAAAGCAUGGGGAGCAAACAGG
rnacentral:rRNA from 1 species